AUACGUAGGGGGCGAGCGUUGUCCGGAAUGACUGGGCGUAAAGGGCGCGUAGGCGGCUGAAUAAGUUAGGAGUGAAAUUCCAGUUUUCAAGGCUGGAACUGCUUUUAAUACUGUUGAGCUUGAGUGCAGAAGAGGUAAGCGGAAUUCCCAGUGUAGCGGUGAAAUGCGUAGAGAUUGGGAAGAACACCAGUGGCGAAGGCGGCUUACUGGGCUGUAACUGACGCUGAGGCGCGAAAGCGUGGGGAGCGAACAGGAUUAGAUACCCUGGUAGUCCACGCUGUAAACGAUGAAUGCUAGGUGUAGGGGGUAUCGACCCCUCCUGUGCCGGAGUGAACGCAAUAAGCAUUCCGCCUGGGGAGUACGGCCGCAAGGUUGAAACUCAAAGGAAUUGGCGGGG
rnacentral:rRNA from 1 species